rnacentral:rRNA from 1 species
CCUACGGGUGGCAGCAGUGGGGGAUAUUGCACAAUGGGGGAAACCCUGAUGCAGCGACGCCGCGUGUGGGAAGACGGUCCUCUGGAUUGUAAACCACUGUCCCCAGGGCCGAAGAUGACGGUACCUGGGGAGGAAGCUCCGGCUAACUCCGUGCCCGCAGCCGCGGUAAUACGUAGGGAGCGAGCGUUGUCCGGAAUUACUGGGUGUAAGGGGAGCGUAGGCGGGGAUGAACUUAGAGUGUCAAAACUACCGGCUCAACUGGGAGUCGCACUCAAAACUGCAGCUCUUGAGUGAAGGAGAGGCAGGCGGAAUUCCUAGUGUAGCGGUGAAAUGCGUAGAUAUUAGGAGGAACACCAGUGGCGAAGGCGGCCUGCUGGGCUUUAACUGACGCUGAGGCUCGAAAGUGUGGGGAGCAAACAGGAUUAGAUACCCCUGUAGUC